CACGGGGGUUGCGAGCGUUAUCCGGAUUUAUUGGGUUUAAAGGGUGCGUAGGCUGGUAAUUAAGUCAGUGGUGAAAUACUCCGGCUCAACCGGGGGGCUGCCUUUGAUACCGGUUACCUUGAGUUUAGAUGAUGUGGGCGGAAUGUGUCAUGUAGCGGUGAAAUGCAUAGAGAUGACACAGAACACCGAUAGCGAAGGCAGCUCACAAAGCUAUUACUGACGCUGAUGCACGAAAGCGUGGGGAUCAAACAGGAUUAGAUA
rnacentral:rRNA from 1 species